AUAAUAGAGAGAGAGAGAGAGAGAGAGAGAGAGAGAGAGAGAGAGAGAGAGAGACGUUGUCAUCUAUUUAUUUUCGAUGAUGGAGCCUCCAAAUCAACAAUUGGCACCGUUGAACAUGAUCUAUAUCACUUGAAGUAUCUAGAAAUCAAACUUCAUGUUUUUUCGAUAUUGUUCUCUUGUCCAUCAAGUGGGCGUAAAAAUGAACGACUGAAAAAGAAUAUCCUCUAAAAAUUGACGAUAGGAAUUUUGUAAUCAAGAUCGAGAGUAUAGAUUUUGUUCUAAAUAGUUUAAAAAAUUUUCUAACUAAAAUUCAAUUGAUUUGUAUAGCUUUACACCAUUAAACGUAAAAACGGCUCAUAUAUAUCUACUAUUAAAAUUACAAAUUUGGAAACCCUUUGAUCAUUAAACUAGGAUUCAAACUUGGGACCUCGGAUACCAACCACCAAGCCUUUUGCCACUUGCGCUAGGGACAGUCGAUGAUAUCAAAAAGAUCUGAAAUCUGAUUUCUAUAUACUUCAAGUGGUAUAGAUUAUUCAACGAUACCGAUCAUCAAUUUGGAGGCUCCAUCAUCGAAAACAAAUGGGUGGCAUGUUACCGAUAAUAUUUCAGCUCAAUUAUAUAUAUAUAUAUAUAUAGUUGAGCUAGAAUACUCUUAAAAACACUAUGAAGGUGGUGCUUUUGAGUUUUUAGUAAUUGGAUGGAGAUAGGUAAGGUUGAGAUGAUGGUGGUAGGUGGAAUAGUAUUUGAUCUAAAGGCUAUUAGUAAUCAAGGAGUAGAUCCAAGAACUAGAAACUUAGAAGCACCAAGUGAUAUAUUGGUGCUUCUAAAAAUAUUCUAGCUCAAUUUUAUAUAUAUAUAUAUAUAUAUAUAUAUAUAUAUAUAUAUAUAUAUAUAGAGAGAGAGAGAGAGAGAGAGAGAGAGAGAGAGAGAGAGAGAGAGAGAGGCAGUGAUGUUUUGUUUUUAAAUCAUGGUGAAUGGAGUGAUGUAGAAAGAUGGAGGAGUGAUGUUAGGCAUGGAUGUAGAGAUUGAUG
rnacentral:lncRNA from 1 species